rnacentral:lncRNA from 1 species
UACAAGAUAGCAAUUUAUGUUCAUAAUAAACUGUUCUCACAAGAUAAUCAUAUCAUGUGCGCUAGAUCGUAUUUUGUUAACACGAUACAAACUUGUAAGCACAUGAUUUUAACUCAUGCAUACAAGUUCAUAUGCUAACAAGAUAGACUGUAUAUAGAAUGGACAGUGUCUGCCUCCUCGCUGGGUGAAGCCACAGCGAGAACAGCACCCUCUGGUGACGAGCUGCAGUAUAGGUUAUAAAUCCCGCCUCCUCCAGCAAUCCAUAUGGAGCUGUGGACAAACUUUAGAAAUUAAUCACACAGAAUAUAAAUGUUUCUCCCCCCUGGUUGUGAUGUUGACAUGUAGUUACUGUAAGACCGGUUUGUGCUCAAGUCCUCUUUUUUCUGUGGAACUCCAUUUUUUAAAAGUUAUUCAGGGUUCAUGUUUUCAGUGAUUGACACCUGAUACAGCCUAUGGGCGUACAAAGAUUGUGUAGCUGACCCAGGGGAUACGCUGUUUGAGCCGAGCGUCAUCACAGCGACUCUUGGCGACUCUCCUGCCCAUGUAUAUAAUGCUACUGCGCAAGGUUGGCUUCAAAUCCGUAUACUGGCAGGAGGCGGAACCGAGUUGUCCGUUGUAUAUACAGUCUAUGUUUGUGCCUCUGCGGUGAUGCUCUAACUGGGUGAUUUAAUAAAAGUUACUGUAAAUGAGGAAGUUCUUUUAAACACUCUCCGAAGAAUCAAAGAGUUGGAGCGGAGGUAAAAGCCUUCCUCCCUCUUGGAGUUUUGAUUCAUCUCCAUGUAUUUCAGUCCCAGCUGCACUGUUUCAGCUGGACUCCUCAGAGAGAAGUUAUCCAUCAAACAGUCAGAGCGGCUCUGUGACGUCUUCCCGUGGAGUUUGUGUUAAUCAUGUUUGAUUCUGUCUGCGCCGCUCUUUCUGUUUGUGCUAUCUCGCUCUUUGUUGUUCUGUUUAUUAGUCGCUCAGCAGCACCUCGGGGCCGGCUGUGUUUAUUGAUUGGUUGAUUGGUUUGUUUACAUUUAAACACUUUUUUCCCCGCCGUGCACGCUGUUCAGGGAAAUCACGGUAUGCACUGUUCAGCUGAACAGAACCCUUCAGAAUGGAAAUACAAUGUGCACUCAUGCACCAUGUUGAGAUGUCAAAAUCAAUGUAGUUUCAUUCUCUCCAAAUAGUCGCCCCCUGCCUCCACCUCUUUACACUCUGGCUUCUUAAAAAAGUCCUAACAUUUUGUUUACCGCGAGAAAUGUACAAAGCAUCAUAGAAAAAUACCUCCUCCUGUUUGCUGAGGAGUUUUUCAGGGAAACUGUCUUCCAGAUGGUGUUUGGAAAUAGCUCAUAUAAAAGCUUUUAUAAACCGGACAAAGGUGAAUCACCAUCAUGUUAUAUUAGUCUGUGACACAGCAGGAGCAGGAGAGCAUAAAGGUCCGUUUUCACCGCGCAGCUGCCUUAUCUUUCCUUCAGGAUCGUCUGUCAGAUGCUACUUAAACCUGCAGCCCCUACCAUCCUCUGGGACAUCCACUGUUUAUUUGGCUGUGCAGCCCAGCAGAACUGAGCCCUGUUGGGAACAAAAGGUCACCUGACACACGUUGAAGCCGGUGUUUUGUGUAUUCCAGCUCUAGCAUGUCCACCUCUUUGUGGUUUUAUCCCCACAGCACUCCCUGUAAGGCCCUUGGAGACUAGAAAAACAUCCCCGGAGCACAAACUGUGGACGUUAUGAGUUUGCUUAGCCCUCCUGUCUAUAGGCUUACCUUCUCCUGCCCUGAAUUUCUUUCCCUUUCUUGUCUUUUAGCUGUUAUUCCUCUUGUUGUGCCUGCAGUUCCCCCCUUCUGUGAUGUAAUUUUUGUUUAAGAAGUCUUUCAAAGUCAAGAGAAAGAAUCUGAAAACGGCAGGGUUUGCCUGAAUGCCUGAUUCCCUCUAAUCCCCUGACUGAACUGCCCCCCUCCUAUGCGGUCAACGUAUAGUUGUGCGUGCACAGAUUCUGCACCGUAAGGUCACAUUUGUUUGGCUGGCUGGAUCACCACCGCGGAGGGCUAAUCCUGCAGAAUUAGUCCAUUCAGCGACCACCUCUUGACCAGGAGGCAUUGCCCAUUAAAGUGGUUACAAAAGGAAUGCCUGAGUCUUUUACAAAGGGAGUUUUUUUCCCCCUCCAUAAGGUAAAGGUAACCCACAGAGUGAGUUACAGUUCCUUCCUCUCAGUUUGAAGCCCUGUGUUGCUGAUUUCAUUCUGCUCAUUGAUUGUGCUUAUUAAACAUUUAGAGAGCAUAAUUGGAGCAUGUGCAGACUGUACUCUGAUAAUUAGUUUCUCCCUCGAACGAUGCAGCUGAGCAAGCUUUGAUUUUAUUCUAUAAAUCAGAAUAAUGCAUUUCUUUGUGUGAUCAAGAACAAAGAAACCACAGAGGGCCCGACAGCUUAAAAAUCACAUUCAACACUUUGUGAGCAUGUCUGUAGGAAAUCAAGAAUGCCAAAUUUUCUGGCAGCAGGAUACAUCCUUUUUUUUUUUUUCUUUUUCCAUGAAAAAUGUGAUCAAGAUGCCACACCAGAUUACUCCUCGUUUUCAAAUUGAGACCCAAUUCGAGCACCAGCUAUCUCCCCCUGUUGAGUGGUCUUGACAGAAGCAAUUUCCUACUCCUAAUCGAAAGAUUUCUUCAUUGGUACCAUCUACUAAAUACCAAACCAGGCUCACAGCAGCACCAGAUGUGUCCCGGCGUCCUCAGACACACUGAGGAUUAUUUGUGCUCAGAGACACGAACAGAAGGAGAGUAUGUUCAGAAUUUUAAUAUGAAGUUAAUGAAUGUGAAGAUGCAUUCAUGUUGAAAACAAUCAGUCUUUUUAUGCACGAAUUAAGUUCACUGCCUAUACUGGAGGAUGACUAUAGAAACUGAUAAAGUGGUACAGCUGACAGGAAACAAAAGUUUGAUGCUUCCAGAGAACAAGAGUCCUGGAGUGAUAACAGAAGGAGUGGGAACAUAUGCUGGAACUGGGACAUAUUUACUGUAAAUGACAGCCUGGGCUUGUGUUUGUGUCUCUCUGCCAACUCACCCUGCCUUUGUUUAUGACAGGGGUCAAUAAGAAACAGAAAAAUAUAAUCUUACUGUUUAUUAAGAGGCCAGGGUCUUUCUGGGAAAUGACUGUGUUUAACAGAAAAGUAGUUGCAGAGAAGAAACCUGUCAAGUGGUCUCACCUUGGCGUAGAGCUUUCUUCCUCCUGCAUCCAGGUUGCCUGUUCUUUCUUCUUCUUUACGAUUCUCUAACUCCUUUCAGAUUGAUCGAUAACAUCACGCUGCUGCUUCUCCAGCUUUCUCUUCAGCAAAUGUAAUAAAACUGACAGCUUUGAUUUUAGAUCAUAAUUUUGUUCUCUUUGCUUCUUUGUCAUCAAUGUUCGUUUGUCAAAAUGUACCGAAAGUAUAAUAGACUCAGCGUCUAACUGGGAUGGGAGUUAACUGGAAGUUUUAUGGUUCUUAAAGGGGAAGUUUGGUUUUGUAAAGUGGGGUGGAGGAAGGUUCUUGUCAAUAGUAUGUGUACUAACCCUGAGGAGAUCCUGGUCAGCUUGACCCCUUUGUUGAGAAACCACCAGAGAACUGACACAGAAGCCGGGCAAUCAAUCUCUGCAGACAGGAUCAGAUCUGAUACAUGAUUAAUAUCAUUGAUCACUCAGAUCCAAACAUUAGUGUCCGAGUAAAUGUGUACACUCUUGAGAAAUGCUUUAUUUUUGAAGUCAGGUUGUAUUCUUCACACAUGAUGAUAAGUGAUUAGAUAUUUGGUGGACUUUAAGAUAAAUGUUUGUUUGUUUUUUAUGGCAAAUAGGUUCACUACAGUUUAGGGCUAGGCGAUAAAACGAUAACGAUAUAUAUCGCAACAAUUAAUUUCCCUUGAUAUCGAUAUAAAACAUGGUCAAUAUCCUAUUCGAUAGUCGACAUUCUGCCAUGUUUUGGUAGACUAUACAAAUAGCCAAUGAAAAGGGGCGUUGCUUCGCACUGAAUUAGAACCAAGUAGCAAACAACUGUGUAGUAGCAGGCUGCAGCUACAUGCAACCAUAGCACUUUAACACGUGACGCCGACAGCACUGUUGGUGAGAAAAAAAAAAGAAAAUGAGUGCUACCCUCGGCAGAAAUGUAGAUGAAGGCUCAACAGAUGAUGACAACGUGAACAACACUGACACGAAAACGUCAGUGGUGUGGAGGUAUUUAGUAUUUUUGAGGUCGGACAUGAAGCAGAGUAAUGUUCACUGCAAAUUAAGAGACACAAAGACCUCACAGAUGCAGUAGCUUAUUAUUUUGCAAAAGACAUGCUACCAAUAAGCACUGUUAAAAUUCAUUUUUUAUAUCGUGAUUAACUUUUUCCCACAUCGCCCAGCCCUACGAGAGUUACAUCUGCCAAUAAAAUAAGCAGAUUUUAGUGUUUAUCAUAUUUAAUGGAAUUAAAUGUGUGUUUGUGUAUAAAUAAUCUGGCUCUUAGCAUUUCUGUUUCCUCCUACACAUGGACAUGCAUGGAGCACAGUUUGACUUUUUUAAGUUUCACUCCCUGUUUUGUGCAGAUAAAUGCUUAUAAAUGAGACCCUUGCGUCACCUAUGAGAAAAUGCUUAUUAAUGAUGAGUACCACACUUCAGAAGAGCCAAACUGUCCCUUUAAUAUUUAACUAGAAAAAAGACACUAAAAAUGUGAAGAAAAGUAAUGAGACGGGAGGCGUCAAUUAAGCUGACUUUAAAGCACUGUUACACCUUCUCCUAACUGGCUGCUGUAGCGGAGUUGUUUUCUAAGCUGUCACUUAUUUCCAGCUCUUUAUUCAGUCAGUAGGAGUUUGUGGCAUGUUUUCCUCCGUCUCUCUCACUCUCUGUUUUCUGGAUGCUUUCAACUGCACAACACUGGGACCAGAUAGUAGAAAGGAAGUAAACAAUGAGUGUGCUUUCUGAUUUCAAUGUCCCGUUUGAUUGGAUAAUAAUAUUUGCCAGGGCCCUCUAAAAAUAAUAAUGACAACAACAACAGCAGUGUUCGUUUACCAUUUAUUUAGCUGGGUUCUGAUUUAGUUUUCAACACAAAUUAAUUAGUCAAAGUUUGGGGACAUUGUCGGAAUAACAGCUCUGGUCGAGGUCGGACAGUCCUUGCAAAACAGCUCAACAAGUGAAGUGUUUUUGCAGACCAAACCCUUCAAGCCCAACCUUGUUUUUUCUUCUUUGAACCACUUUUACAAUGUUAUGCUGCUUCCACCUUGGCCUCAGACUGGCAGGAGUCGUGAUUAGCACAACCUGCAAGGGUCCUUGACAGGACGGCAACAGCUGUGUCUCUUUUUUGUCUUCAGAGAACAGUCUCAUGUUGAGGAC